rnacentral:rRNA from 1 species
GCGCUGCAUUAGCUAGUUGGUAAGGUAACGGCUUACCAAGGCAACGAUGCAUAGCCGACCUGAGAGGGUGAUCGGCCACACUGGAACUGAGACACGGUCCAGACUCCUACGGGAGGCAGCAGUAGGGAAUCUUCCGCAAUGGGCGAAAGCCUGACGGAGCAACGCCGCGUGAGUGAUGAAGGUCUUCGGAUCGUAAAACUCUGUUAUUAGGGAAGAACAUAUGUGUAAGUAACUGUGCACAUCUUGACGGUACCUAAUCAGAAAGCCACGGCUAACUACGUGCCAGCAGCCGCGGUAAUACGUAGGUGGCAAGCGUUAUCCGGAAUUAUUGGGCGUAAAGCGCGCGUAGGCGGUUUUUUAAGUCUGAUGUGAAAGCCCACGGCUCAACCGUGGAGGGUCAUUGGAAACUGGAAAACUUGAGUGCAGAAGAGGAAAGUGGAAUUCCAUGUGUAGCGGUGAAAUGCGCAGAGAUAUGGAGGAACACCAGUGG